AAGCUGAAUAAGUAUUAGCCGUAUUUUUUGCCUCGUAAUCAAGGUAACCCAAAAAUCAACGGAAAAUAAACCGAAGUAUCAAUUGUUUUCAAAUAAACUGGCAGAAAAUUCUGCAUAUAUUUAUAAUGAUACAACCCGAAUGCCUCAAUUCUUACUAACCAAAACACACGACAUAGUCAAACUAAUAGCUACAACGCUAAAUCGCAUAACUGAAAA